rnacentral:lncRNA from 15 species
AGGCAGAGCGGAGAGGAAGAGGAGGGCAGGGAGACCACACACACUGGUGGACGGAACUAAGGAUCGAGCUCGGGCCGGGAUGCACAGACUGAAUCCUGACUGUUGGGUUUGGUCGCCGAGACCUCCUCCGUGUCUCAUUCCUCAACAUUCAGGGAGCUUCACUUCAGCCGUGCUGAGACACCAAGAGGAGGAGGAGGAGGAGGAGGAGGAGGAGGAAGAGGCAGGAGAGCAUCCUGCUGUUUGCUGCUACACUACAGGUUGUGAUGACGUCAUCAGACAGGCUGCUGAAGCUCGGUGGUCCUCCUCCGAACCUGCCAUCCGCUCAGGGAUCCCCAGCAGCUCUGGCCUGGCUCUGCGAGGUCCCGGUGCUCCUUCCUCACAGCAGCCAAAAACACUGAUCCAUGCCGAUGGGGGAGACGAAUCGCGGCAUUUCGUUGGUGGUCGUUGCUGGGGAGGUCCGGGGAUGGAGACCCGGGGAUGUGUAUGUAUUCAUGGGCAGAGGGAACCAGAAGGUUUGUGUCCCAACUGGCCUGGAUCUCCAUUCGUCUACUAUGGAGUGAGGAGGAACCUGGUGGUUGGAGUGGAGGUGGUGGAGGAGGUUGCUGUUGAAGACACUCUCGAAGUAAUAACGGAGGACAUAUAUACAGAUGAUCUCCUGGAUCCUGAGCUGCUGCAACACACCCAGCUGUACCCCACAUGAGCCCCGAGUAACUUCCACGGUGUGCACUGUUAACAAAGAUAUCAUUCUAAUAUAUUUGUCAAAUGUGUUGUAUUUUGUAUAUUUUUGCCUACUAUUGUUGUGUGGGUGUGUUUUUGACAUGCUGUUUGUCUCUUUUAUUUAUAAAUUAACACCACUGUCAACUUUGAUUAAUAAGCUUUACAUAAUCAAACAAAUAAAAUAAAACAAUUAUGACUUGUUAUGACUCAUUGUGACUCAUUGUCCUUUAAAAAAAAUAUAUAUAAUGUAAUAUAAUAAUAUAAUAUAAUAAUAUAAUAAUACAGAAUAUAAUAUAAUAUAAUAAUAUAUAAUAUUAUAUA